GGUGCUUUGGCAGAGAUGGUUCUAUUGCAUCCCGUUGAAGCCGGGAACAUCGUGGUUCGAUUCCACGGGGCACCACCU
rnacentral:tRNA from 1 species